AAAUUAGUCGUGCACCAUGGUCUGCCAUCCCCUUGUGACCGUAUAGCCCAAGUAUAAAAUCCUGACCUCGCCCGAGCUCGCCACAGCGUGCUCUUUACCACGCCGGACCUCGUCGUGCUCUUUCUCACUUGCCUCACCGUGACCGGCACUCCCCGAGAUCCUUGGGAACAUCACGUUGCCGUCAGUAAACGCCGCUUCGAACCCAUCGCCUUGUGGACCGGCCAAUCCGAGUGUUCUUUGAUUGAGUUUGCGCGAGCGCCGUGGCGGUGAACACCUAGACGAGGUGGUAUUUGAAGAAGUCUACUCCAAUGCCUGCUCCUCAAGUGGAUGAAGCCAUCUAACUGGGUAUUGGAUAGAGGGAUCUAGAACCACUUCACUGCAACAAAGGCAAUCUCCGGUUAUAGUUUUGUGCUGCUGUUGAUGGUGUUAAGUGCCGGUGGGCUCGACCUUCUUAUAAGUCUAAGUACUUCUUCUAUACUUCUUAUUGAGGAUGGUCACUUGAGCUAGCAUAUAUUUCAAACUUAUACUUUUGUAAUCACUCCGAUAAAAUAAUGUAAAAUUUUUGUAACCUGUAAAAUUUGGUAAUAAGAUUUCCGCUGCAAAAUUGUUGU